GCGCCAAUGCGCGAAAGCGUGACGCAGCGACGCCGCGUGGGGGAUGAAGGCCCUCGGGUUGUAAACCCCUUUCGCCAGGGACGAAGCGAGAGUGACGGUACCUGGAGAAGAAGUCCCGGCUAACUACGUUUGCCAGCAGCCGCGGUAACACGUAGGGGACGAGCGUUGUCCGGAUUCAUUGGGCGUAAAGCGCGCGUAGGCGGUCGUGCAAGUCGGUUGUGAAAUCCCGGGGCUCAACCCCGGGACUGCGUCCGAUACUGUGCGACUGGAGGCAGGUAGGGGAGAUCGGAAUUCCUGGUGUAGCGGUGAAAUGCGCAGAUAUCAGGAGGAACACCGGUGGCGAAGGCGGAUCUCUGGGCCUUGCCUGACGCUGAGGCGCGAAAGCUAGGGGAGCGAACAGGAUUAGAUACCCUGGUAGUCCUAGCCGUAAACGUUGGGUGCUAGGUGUGGGCGGACAUCGACCCCGUCCGUGCCGAAGCUAACGCAUUAAGCACCCCGCCUGGGGAGUACGGCCGCAAGGCUA
rnacentral:rRNA from 1 species